rnacentral:rRNA from 1 species
UACGUAGGCAGCGAGCGUUGUUCGGAGUUACUGGGCGUAAAGAGUGCGUAGGCGGUUUUCUAAGUUUGGUGUGAAAUCCCCCGGCUUAACUGGGUGGGUGCGCCGAAAACUGGAAGGCUUGAGUAUGGGAGAGGUAAGCGGAAUUCCUGGUGUAGCGGUGAAAUUCGUAGAUAUCAGGAGGAACACCGGUGGCGAAGGCGGCUUUCUGGACACUAACUGACGCUGAGACGCGAAAGCGUGGGGAGCAAACAGG